rnacentral:rRNA from 1 species
AAAUUGAAGAGUUUGAUCAUGGCUCAGAUUGAACGCUGGCGGCAGGCCUAACACAUGCAAGUCGAACGGUAACAGGAAGCAGCUUGCUGCUUCGCUGACGAGUGGCGGACGGGUGAGUAAUGUCUGGGAAACUGCCUGAUGGAGGGGGGUAAAUACUGGAAACGGGGGCUAAUACCGCAUAACGUCGCAAGACCAAAGAGGGGGACCUUCGGGCCUCUUG